rnacentral:snoRNA from 1 species
UUUGCCUUUUGUGUUGCCCGUUCAUUUUUGGUUACUGAUGAAUGUGGUGUCAAAAAAGGCGCAAAUGAAACUCUUGGCAGCUCUGUUUCACCCUAGGUUUCCGUUCCUUUGGUGCUUUUGCUGCGAGGAACAUAU